rnacentral:rRNA from 1 species
AAAUGAAUAGACGGGGACCCGCACAAGCGGUGGAGCAUAUGGUUUAAUUCGUAGAUAAGCGUAGAACCUUACCAGGGCUUGACAUGCUACUGCAAAUCCUAUGAAAGUAGGACUCCUUCGAGGGUGUAGCACAGGUGCUGCAUGGCUGUCGUCAGCUCGUGUCGUGAGAUGUUGGGUUAAGUCCUCUAACGAGCGCAACCCCUAUGAUAUGUUAUUUUUUCAUAUCAGACUGCCCCGGUAUAACGGGGAGGAAGGUGGGGAUGACGUCAAGUCAGCAUGGCUCUUACGUCCUGGGCGACACGUAUGCUACAAUGGGAAAUACAAAGAGACGCAAAGUCGCAAGAUGGAGCUAAUCUCAUCAAAAUUUCUCUCAGUUCGGAUUGGGGGCUGCAACUCGCCCCCAUGAAGCCGGAAUCGCUAGUAACCGUAGGUCAGCCACACUACGGUGAAUACGUUCUCGGGUCUUGUACACACCGCCCGU